rnacentral:rRNA from 1 species
AUGAGUGACACAAAUUGCCCCAUCAUGAGUUGGAACAUUAGAGGCCUAAACUCUCCGACGCGACGAGCUGUAGUAAAUGAGACGGCCGAGGCGCACAAGCUAGCCCUCCUCUGCCUCCAAGAGACGAAGAUCGAGGAGUGGAGCCGCCAACUAGCCCGGGAGGUUGGCGGGGCAAGGCUCGCAGACUACGUCGUGCUUCCCGCCAUCGGCACCAGAGGUGGCGCCGCCAUUUUUUGGGACAGCAGCGUCGUAGACGUACAAACACAUGCCGUGGGCCAGUUCUCCAUCACUGUCCGAGUCUCCGUUGCAACAACCACGACAUCCUUCUGGCUAACCACGGUCUACGGCCCCGUCGACGAUAGUAGAAAGGAUGAUUUUCUGUUAGAAAUAGCUACACUACAAAAAAAAGACACAUCCAUGACAUUUUGGGCCGAACGAAAUUUUUUUCUGUCAUACAUAUGA